AGGCCAUAGCUCAAUGGGAGAGCAUCUGCCUCACAUGCAGAAUGCCCCGUGUUCAAUCCCCAUCUAGGUCUG